rnacentral:lncRNA from 1 species
AUGGGAGAUCCCUUUCUCCUGGAGGAGAUAGGUCUGCUUGCUCUUAAGUCUGCUGCAGACGAAGGACAGAACCAAAGCCAAGGUUCUUCUGUGCAGCUCCUGGAGACAUUUUCGAAACUUCUGGAACUCGUGACCCUCCGCCACCGGCUAAUAGAAAUGAGUCUGGAGAGUGUACACUUAGCUCGUCUCUACAAGGAACUGGCGUGGGAGAUGGGUUUUGAAGAGUUCCAUUUGUAUCUGAGGCCCAUUCACUUUGAAUUUGCAUCACUCAAAGACAAAGUGGACCACCCGCCUCCUGUCUUUAUCACCUCUCUGCUGGAGGACAGUGAUCAAGUGGACAGAUAUGCUCCUGCUACCCUUGUCUUAGCCAUCUCUGAGGUGGAUGAGAACCAGGUUGGCAAGUUCAGCUUUUAUACAAAGGAAGCCAUCCUUAAGCUCUUAUCCCAUUCAGGAGUGGAAAAUAUGCAAGUGACCCUUGCAUGCCAAGCAGCUCAGAAAAAUGCCUUGAUGGUGGCUGUCCAGCAGGCAUCCUCCUAUCCCAUGGCCCGGUGGGGCUGUCCUGCUGAUGCAAAGGAAAUAAGUUCAGAUCUGAGAAAUCAUGGUGGAAUGGGUCCAGCCAGAAGAAGAAAUUCCAGAAUUGUGAAUGACAUAGAGAAUGCACCGGUAGCCCCAACUCCAAAAGUUCCAGACACCCUUACUCACCCUUCAGAAAGAGUCCAGGCUACCAAAAGGUACUACCCUAGAGGUUUGUUUAAAAAUAACAAAGGUGUCUUCUUUAAGUCAAUCAAUAAUGUAGUGUUAGGGGAUUAAAGGAUGCCUAAAUUCCCAAAGUGACCAGCAUGUGUUUAAUUUUUAAGACGUCAUAUGAAGACUUUGUAUAAACACUGAGAAGGCUCAACUCCUUCCAGUAUACGGUCUAUGGAGAGUCACUGGUUCGCUAUUUCAGCCCCUUUUCUCCUCCCUUCUCCCUUCUCUUUGUCUCCCCUUUGUCUUCCCUCUCUCUAUAUUUUUCAAACCCAACAGACAGAACAUAAGAAAGAAGAAUAUGGGCCUCUCCAAGUCUUCCAUGUUUAUCUCAAACUGAAAAGCACAGAAUUACCCUCACUCUUCCAACAAGGAUUUUACCAAUGCUUAGGAUAAUAAGGUGAUGCCUUAUCGGAGAGCUACAACCUCUGCCGAGAGAUGGCUGUAAAUCAAGAAUGUCCUAUGAUGUCCCGAUCUCUUUCUACCAUGACAGAAAAAGAGAGAUAUUUGUAUUCUAUAAUAAAUAUCUUGAGUAUUUCCUGUAACA